GAGUCUCUGAAAGCACAAGCCUCUUUUGUGCAGCCGGGGCUCUCGUCGGCGGGGUAGAAGUAGACCACUGUCGGCUUGCCUUUGAACUUGGAGAGAGACACAUUCUUGCCAUCUUGGUCUUUCAGUGUGAAGGAAGGAGGUACAUCCCCUUUUGACACCUUGGCAUAAAUGGAAGUCAUGGAAUGAGAGGGAGGUGGUGGUGGUGUUUGGUGGUGGGGGGAUGGAAUGGAGAGCUUGAGGCCAUGGAAUUGGGAAUGGGAUGAUUUGGGGAGGAGAGGGAGAUUGCAUGGUGAGGACUUAUUAGGGUUUGGGGGUUGGAGGA
rnacentral:misc_RNA from 1 species